UUCAUUUUAUAACUUAUCGAUUUUAGCGAGAUAUCACAUGUCGAAAUCGAGAUUUAUUUAAAUAAACAGUACAAGCAAAUAUGAGCACGUGAUUCACUUUACAGUUACAGAAUCACCGAGUCAGAGAAAAUACAUCAAUAAUUCUCCUCUACAAUUUUUUUUCCUUUCUUUUUCUUCUCUUUUUCUUUCCAUUAAACUUUGUUCCCACACCACUAUCAUUAUGUUUUUCUUUCUUUUUCCCCCACCACUACACUCAAUUCUUCACCAAUGAAUUAUUAGUAUCAACCCCAGCCAACAAACAGCUCUCAAUCUCACUUCAUUUCACCGAAAAAAAAUAUUGAAGAGCAGCCCCAAUUCAUUCUGCUAAGAUCUCAAGGAACCUUAAGUUCAGUUACUCCAGUUCAACAAACAACAAUAUUUAACCAACAACACAUUUCAAGGUCAAGCACGAGAUUAAUAAUCAGUCAAGGAACUACUGUACCACAGAAAGUUUAUAUCAGGUUGAGCAGCUGCCGAUGGUGAUGAAGUGACGAGCGGGAUUCUUUUGUCUUAUUAUGUAUUAAUGAACUCUAG